rnacentral:rRNA from 1 species
UACGGAGGGGGCAAGCGUUAUUCGGAAUUAUUGGGCGUAAAGGGCGCGUAGGCGGCUAGAUGUGUCAGAGGUGAAAUCCCUCGGCUCAACUGAGGAACUGCACAGGAAACUGCUUGGCUUGAGUUCGGGAGAGGGAAGCGGAAUUCCGGGUGUAGCGGUGAAAUGCGUAGAUAUUGGGAGGAACACCAGUGGCGAAGGCGGCUACCUGGACCGGUUCUGACGCUGAGGCGCGAAAGCGUGGGUAGCAAACAGG